rnacentral:rRNA from 1 species
AUUGAACGCUGGCGGCAUGCCUUACACAUGCAAGUCGAACGGCAGCACGGGAGCAAUCCUGGUGGUGAGUGGCGAACGGGUGAGUAAAGUAUCGGAACGUGCCCAGUCGUGGGGGAUAACGUAGCGAAAGUUACGCUAAUACCGCAUACGAUCUAUGGAUGAAAGCGGGGGAUCGCAAGACCUCGCGCGAUUGGAGCGGCCGAUAUCAGAUUAGGUAGUUGGUGGGGUAAAGGCUCACCAAGCCGACGAUCUGUAGCUGGUCUGAGAGGACGCCCAGCCACACUGGGACUGAGACACGGCCCAGACUCCUACGGGAGGCAGCAGUGGGGAAUUUUGGACAAUGGGCGAAAGCCUGAUCCAGCCAUGCCGCGUGCAGGAUGAAGGCCUUCGGGUUGUAAACUGCUUUUGUACGGAACGAAAAGGUUUGGGCUAAUAAGCUGAGCUCAUGACGGUACCGUAAGAAUAAGCACCGGCUAACUACGUGCCAGCCGCCGCAGUAA